AUCUAGCUGACGAGUCCCGAAUAGUACGGAACGAGCGUCCUAAAU
rfam:Schistosoma curassoni strain Dakar, Senegal genome assembly, scaffold: SCTD_scaffold0000302